rnacentral:rRNA from 1 species
AUUGAACGCUGGCGGCAUGCUUUACACAUGCAAGUCGAACGGGGUGGUGGGGCAACCCGCCAUUCAGUGGCGAACGGGUGAGUAAUGCAUCGGAACGUGUCCCGUAGUGGGGGAUAACCCGGCGAAAGCCGGACUAAUACCGCAUAUGCUCUACGGAGGAAAGCGGGGGACCUGAAAGGGCCUCGCGCUAUGGGAGCGGCCGAUGUCCGAUUAGCUUGUUGGUGGGGUAAUGGCCACCAAGGCGACGAUCGGUAGCUGGUCUGAGAGGAUGAUCAGCCACACUGGGACUGAGACACGGCCAGACUCCUACGGGAGGCAGCAGUGGGGAAUAUUGGACAAUGGGCGAAAGCCUGAUCCAGCCAUGCCGCGUGAGUGAAGAAGGCCUUAGGGUUAGUAAAGCUCUUUCAGCGGGGAA